GGCUUUAUAGUCAAUAAUGACAUUAGACUGCAAUUCUAAAGGAGUAAGUAUUUACUAAGGCUU
rnacentral:tRNA from 1 species